UGCUUUUGGUAAUGGUAUUUCAUCAUAGCA
rnacentral:piRNA from 1 species